rnacentral:misc_RNA from 1 species
ACAUCUCAACUCUCAUGGGUCACCAUGAUGAGCUUGGACUUUGGAGGUUUUGCUGGCUUACGGUUGGCUCCUCUCAAAUGGAUCAGCUUGCCAGCAUUUGGUGGCAUCACGGGCGUGAUAACUAUCUGCGCUUGUGGUCGUCCGCCAGGGUGUAACCUUCAGUGAUGGAGGUUUGCUGGAGCUUCAUAGACGUCCCUCCUCGGCGAGGACGGCUUUCCGAAC